rnacentral:rRNA from 1 species
AAAGAACGCUGGCGGCAUGCCUAACACAUGCAAGUCGAACGAAUAAUUUUCAAGCUUUGCUUGAAAGCUGUUAGUGGCAAACGGGUGAGUAACACGUAGGAAUCUACCUUACAGUACGGAAUAACAACUGGAAACGGUUGCUAAUACCGUAUAUUCUCUUCGGAGGAAAGAUUAAUCGCUGUAAGAUGAGCCUGCGCUAGAUUAGGUAGUUGGUAGGGUAAUGGCCUACCAAGCCUACGAUCUAUAGCUGGUCUGAGAGGACGAUCAGCCACACUGGAACUUAGACACGGUCCAGACUCCUACGGGAGGCAGCAGUGGGGAAUAUUGGACAAUGGGCGAAAGCCUGAUCCAGCAAUGCCGCGUGAAUGAUAAAGGCCUUAGGGUUGUAAAGCUCUUUCGGCAGGAACGAAACGGUGGUCCCUAAUACGGAUUGCUAAUGACGGUACCUGAAGAAGAAGCACCGGCUAACUACGUGCCAGCAGCCGCGGUAAGGAGCU